rnacentral:lncRNA from 1 species
UUGUCUGGUUUUGGUACCAGGGUGAUGGUGGCCUCAUAGAAUGAGUUUGGGAGUAUCCCUUCCUCUGCAAUUUUUUGAAAUAGUUUCAGAAGGAGAGGUGUUAGCUCUUCUCUAAAUGUUUGAUAGUAUUCACCUGUGAAGCCGUCUGGUCCUGGAAUUUUGUUUGUUGGAAGUUUUUUAAUCAUAGUUUCAAUUUCAGUUCUUGGGAUGGGUCCAUUCAUCCUUUCUAUUUCCUCUUGGUUUAGUCUUGGAAGAUUGUACUUUUCUAAGAAUUUGUCCAUUUCUUCUAGGUUUUCCAUUUUAUUGGCAUAUAGUUGCAUAUAGUAGUCUCUUAUGAUCCUUUGUAUUUCUGUGAUGUCUGUUGUUACUUCUCCUUUUUCAUUUCUAAUUUUAUUGAUUUGAGUCCUCUCUCUUUUUUGCUUGAUAAGUCUGGCUAGGGGUUUAUCAAUUUUGUUGAUCUUUUCAAAGAACCAGCUUUUCGUUUCAUUGAUCUUUUCUAUGGUUUUCUUUGUUUCUAUUUCAUUGAUUUCUGCUCUGAUCUUUAUGAUUUCUUUCCUUCUACUAACUUUAGGUCUUGUCUGUUCUUCUCUCUUGAGCUGCUUUAGAUGUAAAGUUAGCUUGUUUAUUUGAGCUUUUUCUUGUUUCCUGAGGUGGGCUUGUAUUGCUAUAAACUUUCCUCUUAGAACGGCUUUUGCUGCAUCCCAUAGGUUUUGGAGUGUCGUAUCUUCGUUGUCAUUUGCUGCUAGGUAUUUUUUAAUUUCCUCUUUGAUUUCUUCAGUGAUCCAUUGGUUGUUUAGUAGCAUGUUGUUGAGUCUCCACGUGUUUGUGUUUUUUGCAGUUUUUUUCUUGUUGUUGAUUUCCAGUCGUAUAGCAUUGUGGUCGGAAAAGAUGCUUGAUAUGAUUUCAAUUUUCUUAAAGUUACUGAGGUUGGAUUUGUAGCCCAGGAUAUGAUCAAUCUUAGAGAAUGUUCCAUGUGCACUUGAGAAGAAUGUGUAUUCUGUUGCUUUUGGAUGGAAUGUCCUAUAAAUAUCUAUUAAGUCCAUCUGGUUUAAUGCUUCAUUCAGGGCCUGUGUUUCCUUAUUGAUUUUCUGUCUGGUUGAUCUGUCCAUUGCUGUAAGUGGGGUGUUAAAGUCCCCCACUAUGAUUGUGUUAUUGUCGAUUUCUCCUUUUAAGGUUGUUAGCAGUUGCCUUAUAUAUUGUGGUGAACCUGUGUUGGGUGCGUAGAUAUUUAAAAUUGUUAUAUCAUCUUCUUGGAUUGAUCCUUUGAUCAUUAUGUAAUGUCCUUCUUUGUCCCUUAAAAUAUUCUUCAUUUUAAAGUCUAUUUUGUCUGAUAUGAGUAUUGCUACUCCAGCUUUCUUUUGAUCCCCGUUUGCAUGAAAUAUUUUCUUCCAUCCUCUCACUUUCAAUUUGUAUGUGUCCCUAGAAGUGAAGUGGGUCUCUUGAAGACAGCAUAUAUAUGGGUCUUGUUUUUGUAUCCAUUCAGCCAGUCUACGUCUUUUGGUUGGGGCGUUUAGUGCAUUAACAUUUAAGGUAAUUAUUGAUAUGUAUGUUCUUAUUGCCAUUUUAUUAACUGUUUUGGAUUUGUUUUUAUUGCUCUUUUUUCUUCCCUUCUUCUCUUGUUCUCUCCUCUUGUGGUUUGAUGACUAUCUUUAAUGUUGUAUUUAUGUUGACUUUUCUUAUUUGUGUGUGUAUCAAUUGUAGAUUUUUGGUUUGCAAUUAUUCUGAAGUUUUGAUAUGAGUCUAUAUAUAUAUAUAAGGUUGUUUUAAUUUGUUCUCUUAAUUGCAAGUGCAUCUCCAGUGUCCUGAAUUUGUACACUCCUCUGCUCAUGAUUUCUGAUUUUGGUAGCAUAAUUGUGUUUGAUGAAUUCCUGCCUUUACUGUAUAUAUACCUUUACUGGUCAGCCUUAUCAUUUGUGGUAUUUUUGUUUCUGGUUGCUGCCUUUUCUUUUCAGCCUAGAGCAGUUCCUUUAGUAUUUGUUGUAAGGCUGGUUUAGUGUUGCUGAAUUCUCUUAGCCUUUGCUUAUCUGUGAAGGUUUGGAUUUCUCCUUCAAAUCUGAAUGAGAGACUUGCUGGGUGAAGUAAUCUUGGUUGGAGGUUUUUUCCUUUCAUCACGUGGAGUAUAUCAUGCCACUCCCUUCUGGUCUGCAGAGUUUCUGCUGAAAAAUCUGCUUAUAACCUUAUUGGGGUUCCCUUGUACGUUACUUGUUUCUUUUCCUUAGCUGCUUUCAAUAUUUUCUCUGUCUUUAAUUUUGGCCAGUUUGAUUAAUACGUGUCUCAGGGUGUUCCUCCUUGGGUUUAUUUUAUAUGGUACUCAUGCUUCCUGGAUUUGAAUGAGU